AAAGUACAACAAUAAUUUAACAGAUUACAUCUUGUUUUCUCGCAGCCAUCCACUACUCCAUUACUGAAGAACUUCCAGCAUAUGGUUUCAACUGUGGAUUUGGCUACAGUUCUCAAAAGACAAUCUGUCGCUGGGAACACGAUAGCCAGCUGGACCUGAGAUGGGCCGUCCUCACCAGCAAAACAGGGCCCAUUCAGGACCACACAGGAGAUGGCAAUUUUAUUUAUUCCCAAGCUGAUGAAAACCAGAAAGGCAAAAUUGUCCGCCUUAUCAGCCCCAUCAUCAACCUGCAAAAUUCUGCACUUUGCAUGACUUUCUGGUAUCAUAUGUCGGGCCCUCACGUCGGCACGCUAAGAAUCAAACUGCGGUACCACACCCCUAAAGUAUACGAUCAGGUCUUAUGGAUGCUAAGUGGAAAUCAGGAAAACUGCUGGAAGGAAGGUCGGGUUCUUCUCCACAAAUCUGUGAAACAUUAUCAGGUAAUGGUGGAAGGAGAAAUAGGAAAGGGAAAUGGAGGAAUUGCAGUUGAUGAUAUUAACUUUGA